rnacentral:rRNA from 1 species
AUCCAGACUCCUACGGGAGGCAGCAGUGGGGAAUAUUGCACAAUGGGGGGAACCCUGAUGCAGCGACGCCGCGUGGGCGAGGAAGUAUUUCGGUAUGUAAAGCCCUAUCGGCAGGGAAGAAGAAAUGACGGUACCUGAAUAAGAAGCACCGGCUAAAUACGUGCCAGCAGCCGCGGUAAUACGUAUGGUGCAAGCGUUAUCCGGAUUUACUGGGUGUAAAGGGAGCGCAGGCGGCACGGCAAGCCUGAUGUGAAAGCCCGCGGCCCAACCGCGGGACUGCAUUGGGAACUACCGGGCUGGAGUGCCGGAGAGGUAGGCGGAAUUCCUAGUGUAGCGGUGAAAUGCGUAGAUAUUAGGAGGAACACCAGUGGCGAAGGCGGCUUACUGGACGGCAACUGACGCUGAGGCUCGAAAGCGUGGGGAGCAAACAGGAUUAGAUACCCCCGUAA